rnacentral:rRNA from 1 species
AAGGUCACGGCGAGACGAGCCGUUUAUCAUUACGAUAGGUGUCAAGUGGAAGUGCAGUGAUGUAUGUAGCUGAGGCAUCCUAACAGACCAAUAGACUUGAAC